UACAGAGGUCUCAAGCGUUGUUCGGAUUCAUUGGGCGUAAAGGGUGCGUAGGUGGCGCCGUAAGUCAGGUGUGAAAUUUCGGAGCUUAACUCCGAAACUGCAUUUGAUACUGUGGUGCUUGAGGACUGGAGAGGAGACUGGAAUUUACGGUGUAGCAGUGAAAUGCGUAGAGAUCGUAAGGAAGACCAGUGGCGAAGGCGGGUCUCUGGACAGUUCCUGACACUGAGGCACGAAGGCCAGGGGAGCAAACGGG
rnacentral:rRNA from 1 species